CUUCCAGUGUCCUGAUGUCAAGGUGAAUGGGGUCAAUAGAGAGAGCAGCUGGUAGGAGCCAGUCUUUAGCUGAUUUCCUCCUCGAGUUGUGGGGGCUGCUGCCAAGUCAUUCGUCUCACCCUGUGUGUCUGUUAUAAUGUUGCAAAAGAAAACAGAAGGUGAGUUCAGUCCAAUGUGGGCAACUCAACAAACAGGUGGGAAAGGCAUACAAAAGUUUAAUCAAUGCCAUUCUGAAGAAAUUGUCUUUGUACUGAAAGUGAGCUAAAAGAGUGUUGGGUUUGGAGCUAGGAAGUAAGAAUUUCUUGAAGUGGUCUUUGGAGUUAAACAAGCUGGAAAGACUAAGUGAGGAAAAACAGAAAAUAAUAGAAGAGAGUAGAGAAGAGGAGAGGAGGAGAGAAAAGAGAUGGAGAGUGGAAGAAAGGGAAUAACUAGAGAAGAGGAGAGAGGAGAGGAAAGACAGACCAUUCUAAUCACAAGGGAUAGGUGGAGAUUAAGGAGGGAGACUCUCCUGGGGGGUCAAAAUGGUCUAGAGCCUUUUCCUACUGGACUGAGUUAAAAAAGAAUAAGGAAGCACCUAGAUAGAUUGGGUAUAGAGUAAGCUUGAGCUAAGGAAAUGGGUAAACAAUUAAUCUUGAAGUGGACCAUGAAGAGACGGAGUGUGUUGGAGCAUUCUUCCACAAGUGCCCCUUUCUUCCAUAAGUCACAGUUCAUUCUGCAACCUCUUGGGUUGGGGACCCAGAUGAAAACUGAUGAAAAAGGGGUAUCAAAGAGCCACCCUGUGCUGUUGGUUGACAGCUGCUUUGGGUCCUAUUUUCUAGGUACUACUGAAACCAUCUCCAGGUCCAGGCAGGGAUGCACAGGAGGUCUUGGCCUCCUGCUGCUCAUGCAAGAAGGAGAGCCUCCAGUAGGUCCACUCACCCUACUCCCUUUUAUCCAGUGUGAGACUCUCACUUCUGACAGCUCAUUUUGAGGAGGAGUUUAUGUUGGGUUAAUUCCAUCAGAAUAUAAAUGCUUUGUCGUCUUUGAUACAAACGGCUGUAUUGAGUACGUUGGUGGCUCAUUUUAUGGACUCAGACUGGGCUAAAAUGGAAAAAAAUGUCAGAGGCUGAGUUGCUGCUAUGGAGUUGAUUAGAUAGGAACAAUGAGUUUAGAUGAGACAGAAGGAUGUGGUGAAUGAUCCUAUUAAUAGUCAUGUGAGUCAUGUGGUUGUGGCCAACAUUUAGAGCCCUUAGAGUUCAGAAAGAGUGAGGCUGCUCAGGGAUGGGCCUGGAGGUGGAAAGGUUCAUCCUGGGCCUUGAAGUAUGAGGAGGGAACUGCAGAAGGAGUAAGGUCAGGAAAGCAUCCUAUAUUAGGGCAAGGCAAGGUCACUAAAUAAUUUUACGAAUUAUAUGUUGGAAUUCUCUCUUCCUUCUCUUCUUUCCUGCUUCACUACUUGUCAAAUUAGCACCCUCUUGCCAUUUAAUGAACUUUUGAUAUGUUUCUUUAACCUGUCAAGUUUAUGAGGGGGAAAUUCCAUGGCAAUUCCUUCUAAUUUAUAACACAGUUUGCUCAGGAUAUAGUAAGCAUAUUUUGAGGUUCUGCAGUAUAACUGAAAAUGCUGUAAACACUGGAAAUCAGGAAAAGAGGUCCAUAUACUCAUGUACAUUUAUUAAGUAGCUGCAAGUGAAAACCCUGGGGGGAUAGCACUGAAGAAAGCAGGCAGAAGCCUGCCCUCAUGUGGCUUCCAUUUCAGUGGGCAUGGAGACAAUAAAGAAAUUUACACCAAGGUGUGUAAGACAGCAACAGAUAAUAGCCAGUGUUAUGAAUAGGAAGAAGGGUAACAGGCAUGCUGGUGGCUGUGAUUUUAUGUUUCUAUUUCAUAUGGGUGGCCAGGGAAAUUUUUCUGAGGAGCUGGCAUUUGAACAAAGACCUGAAUGAAGAAAGGGGAACAUCCCGGCAGAUCUCUGGGGAAAAAGCCUUUCAGGCAGAUGAAAUGGUCAGCGUGAAGAUUUCAGGUCGACAUAUCCGUGAUCUGUUCAAGGAAUGGUUUUGGAGGCCACAUGAAUGAACUUGCAGAAGGUGGAGAUGAGGUCAGAAGUGGCCAGGACACAUGAGACCUUUUGGACAAUAUUAAGUCUUCCUGAUUUUAUUCUAAAUAUGAUGGAAAACUGUUGAAGAGUUUUGGCUAAAGGAAUAUGAACAAAUAUAUUACAAUAUGCAAAAUAAGGUGGGGUGGGAUGAAAGCUGAAAAGAUAGAAAACCAAUAAAGCACAGAGCUUUGCAGAAGCCACAAUCUAAUAGGGAAACAGAAGGGGCAACAAGUGCUUGAAUACAGUGUAAUGAGGACCCAAGAAGAGGAAUGUUGGAGUUCAAUGGGUACACCAGGGAGGUGGAAAUGAGCUUAGCCAGGGGAUCCAAGGAUGGUCUCACAGAGAAUUUACAUGUCAGAUGCAUCUUGAAGAUUGAGCAGGGAUUUUUCAGAUACAAGAAACUGAAAAAGCCUGACUCACAGAGGAGCAGCACAUCACAAAGGAAGAGGCACCAGAGAAUGUAGCUUGUUUUAAGGACACCGAGCUGUUGAGGAUGACUGGAUCACAAGUGAGCAUGGUGAUUGGCAAGAGGUGGCCAGAAAAGCUAAAGCAUGGAAAGCCUCAUUUGUGGGUGACUUUAUUGUAUAACAAUAGAGGAGGAACCAUUAGAGUUAUGAGCAGUGAAAUAGAAAGUGGCAUUUGUGUUUUGGAAAGAUUACUCUGCCAGUAGUGUGAGGGGCGGUAGCUGUUUCUACUUCCUCUGGAAUUUGGAGUCAUAUAGAACAGAAUUCAAAUCCCACCUAGAAUAGUUAUUUGCUGGGUGAUCAUAUAUAAGUCUCUUAAUAUCUCUUAGCCUCGAUUUCCUUGUUUAUAAAUUGGGAAAAACAAGUAUCUUCUUCAGGAGAGCUGUGAAGAUUAAAUUUUAAAAAGUGUUUAAGGCUGGGCGAUGUGGCUUACGCCUGUAAUCCUAGCACUUUGAGAGGCCAAGAUAGGUGGAUCACUUGAGAUCAGGAGUUCAAGACCAGCCUGGCCAACAUGGUGAAACCCUGUCUUUACUAAAAACACAAAAAUUAGCUGGGCAUGGUGGUGGGUGCCUGUAAUCCCAGCUACCCGGGAGGCUGAGGCAGGAGAAUCAGUUGAACCCGGGAGGUGGAGGUUGCAGUGAGCCAAGACCACGCCACUGCACUCCAGCCUGAGCAACAGAGUGAGACUCCAUCUUAAAAAACAAAAACAAUCAAACAAGCAAAUAAAAAAAGGUGUUUAUCAUAAUAACUAGGUCAUCAUAAGGCAUCAAUUAUUUAGAGUUACUUUUAUUAUUACAAAGAAUUGGGAUGGAGAGAAAUGGGAGGCAGGCAUACUGGUGAGGAGACUAUCACAUGAGGCUAGGAGACACAUGCCAAGGACCCAAACUGUGAUAGUAGGGGAAGAGGGGAUGAAGAAGACAUUAAAGAAAUAUUAUAGACUGCAAUUGAAAGGACUUGAUUUUUCUUUUUUCUUUUUUUUUUGACUAUGAGCAUUGGGAUGUUGGGGAUGACUGGAUCACAAGUGAGCAUGGUGAUCGCCAAGAGGUGAUAAAAUUUUCUAUAAAUACCUAAGGAGAUUAGUGUGGAAUGUGACCAUUAUCAAAAUCCAGGAGAAUAAAGGAGGAAAGAUUAUCCAAAGACUUCUUCAGCUCUCAAGUGGGAUGCUUUACUAUUCCACUAAGACUACUGACAAAGGGAAUGAGAUAACUAUCCCAAAGAAAUCCAAGAGCUAUCAGAGAAGAAAUAGACCCAUGAUAAAAAAAUUGUAAAAAUAAAAUUACAAAUGUCAGCUAAAAUGUCUUAGACUGGGCUCUUUGAAUGUGUAGGAGUGAAUUUGUAUUUUGAUUAAGAGGGCUAUCCUAGUAUUAUCAGUAUUAUCAAAAUUAGGCACUGUGUGAAUGGUCUUUGAUGCUACGGCUGAAAGCGGUAAUGGUAUUGAUAAUAUGGAUGAUGAUCUGAUCUUUUCUAAGAUGAUACACAAUUGUCCAUACUUAGGGAAAUUCCUUCCAGGACUUAGGUACACUUCUGUCAGCCUUCCCACUGCUGUGAUUCUGUUAUGCAUCUCUGAGGACUGACACUACAGUGUUGUGAAGUCACAGAUGUUGCCUCAUUCAAUGUUACCACGGCCAAAUGUGACUCAAUUCAAUCCCGGAGCUCAUAGAAAUUGCCAUAUAAAAAUGACAUUUCUUUUUGGUCAAGAUCUUAGGUAACUUCUGCCAUUUUCUGAAGGGGCUUUAGGAGAAAUACAACAAGAGGUGUGGUGGCAGAGCAGUACUUUUGAGAGCAGCCCAGAGAAAGGUCUUCAUUCUGCCUAUUUCCCUGGGUGAACUCAAGCAAAAAGCUUGCCCUGCUGAACUGCACUGAGCACACAAUUUUGCCCAGGAU
rnacentral:lncRNA from 10 species